GCCAAGUGCACCAGGCUAGGAGAGGGCAGCGGGUUGGAGUGGAGCAAGCCGCUGGGUGAGGGUAAGGAGGGGUCAAACCUGCUGCCACCCCACACCAGGCCUCUGGUAAUUUCCACAAAAGACAUGGAAACUAAAUCCACCUCAGCACUCCCAAAGAGUUAAUCCACGCUAAAAUGUUUUUUAAAGGCCAGAGCCGUCUGCUAAAGUCGAGCAGGGCCAAAUGGAUUAAAGCUUUGUGCUGAACUUGAUUUCGAACAGAAGUUUCCAACUAUUCAGAGAUUCACCGAGUUGAAGACCAGAAGCUACCGUUAGAUCAGCUAGUGAUCUGCUUAGAAGCAGAAUUGGAUGUGCCAAAACAGAUGCCCUCCUAGCAGUAUGGAGCACAAAUAAGUUGGAGAGCCGUUUCUGCUUCUGAGGGGUGUUAAAGGCAAGGUCCUUGGAUCAUCCUGGGAUCAGGAACUUGAAUACUGCAGCAAAUCAUCUGCAGAGUAGAAGCUGGUUAUAUGGGAAGUGAUUCUUCAACAAAUAAUGGACACCAUUCACAGCAGGUGGUUUCAUGUUUUUAUUACAAGCCCUGGGAUACGUCUAUAAAAUGUUAAGAGCAGUUGUUAACCACCGACUCCACCAUUUGUUGUUCAAAGCAACUGAAAUACAGUAUACUAAU